ACUCCUACGGGAGGCAGCAGUGGGGAAUAUUGCACAAUGGGGGAAACCCUGAUGCAGCCAUGCCGCGUGUGUGAAGAAGGCCUUCGGGUUGUAAAGCACUUUCAGUAGGGAGGAAGGUAGUGUAGUUAACACCUGCACUAUUUGACGUUACCUACAGAAGAAGCACCGGCUAACUCCGUGCCAGCAGCCGCGGUAAUACGGAGGGUGCGAGCGUUAAUCGGAAUUACUGGGCGUAAAGCGCAUGCAGGCGGCCUGUUAAGUCAGAUGUGAAAGCCCGGGGCUUAACCUCGGAAUUGCAUUUGAAAACUGGCAGGCUAGAGUCUUGUAGAGGGGGGUAGAAUUUCAGGUGUAGCGGUGAAAUGCGUAGAGAUCUGAAGGAAUACCAGUGGCGAAGGCGGCCCCCUGGACAAAGACUGACGCUCAGAUGCGAAAGCGUGGGGAGCAAACAGGAUUAGAUACCCUGGUAGGAUAGCG
rnacentral:rRNA from 1 species